UACAGAGGUCCCAAGCGUUGUUCGGAUUCACUGGGCGUAAAGGGUGCGUAGGCGGUCGGGUAAGUCUGAUGUGAAAUCUCACAGCUUAACUGUGAAACUGCAUUGGAUACUAUCCGGCUAGAGGAAUGGAGGGGAGACUGGAAUACUUGGUGUAGCAGUGAAAUGCGUAGAUAUCAAGUGGAACACCAGUGGCGAAGGCGGCCUUCUGGACAGUGACUGACGCUGAGACGCGAAAGCGUGGGGAGCAAACAGG
rnacentral:rRNA from 1 species